GAUGUAGCUCAUCAAUAAAGCACUUGCCUAGCAUGCAUGAGGUCCUGGGUUCAAUCCUCAGCAUC
rnacentral:tRNA from 1 species